AUUAUUUUUUGAGAAGAGUCAUAACUCAACGCGGACCUUACACGCUGUUAAUUUGUGUGUGCGUAUGGCGGUACAGUGCGCUCUUUUGCACUCUAUGACCAGCCAUCAGUAAAUCGAAAUACAGUAAAAAAAAAUGAGCGCGAAACCCUGACACUUUACAGAAAGGCACGGAUAUCCCCGCCCGAAGAAAAAAAGAGCACAGGACAAUGGUUGCAAGUUAAACAGCUGAACAUUUCACCAUCUGCAAAGAACAUUUCACCAUCGACAUAUUAACAUAAACGGUUCUCUUUUUCGUGUUUGACUGCGUUUGGUACAGGUCACAACAACAACGGCAGAUGCAGAGACCACGCUUUCCCUUGCUUCCACUCCACGGCUGAUCAUGCUUGAGGAUCCAGAUCUACAAAACAAAAAUGGAUGCUGCCGAUUGAAGGCUAAGUCCGCUUUCCUGCGAUUGACCUACCAUUUCUUCAGCAUUUGCUGUUCACUUUGGUUGCUACUACGUGCUCAACAUCGAGUACCAAGUGGAAGCAGCCACUACUUUGGAGUUUAUUCAGAGAUUUAUUGUGAGGAUCAGCCCCGACAACAGCAAGUGCUCCUCUAAGUUCCAGGGGCCUCAUUUAUCAAGCGUGCGUACGCACAGAAGUGUGCGUAAAGUGUGCGUAGGAACAGUUUUACGCAAAGUGUGGAAUUUAUCAAAUUGCACUUAUACUUAGAAAUGUGUGUAAAUAUACGCACACC